UUAAAAGAUGCUCACACCCUGUGGAGGGGUCAGUCCCAGUCACGACACAGCAUGGACAUGAGGGUCCCCGCUCAGCUCCUGGGGCUCCUGCUGCUCUGGAUCCCAAGUGCCAGAUGUGACAUCCAGGUGACCCAGUCUCCAAGCUCCCUUUCUGCAGCUGCAGGAGACAAAGUCACCAUCACUUGCAGGGCCAGUGAAAACAUUGGUUACAGCUUAAAUUGGUAUCAACAAAAACCAGGAAAAGCUCCUAAAUUGCUGAUCUACGGUGCAGACAGUUUAGAAUCUGGGGUCCCACCAAGAUUCAGUGGCAGUAGGUCUGGGACAGAUUUCACUCUCACCAUCAGUGGCCUGGAAUCUGAUGAUGUUGGAACUUAUUACUGUCAGCAGUAUAGUAACUACCCUCCCACAGUGAUACAAGCCAUAACAAAAACCACCCAGGGAAGCAGAAGUGUGAGUCUGGGCAGGCCCAGCUGCAUCUCCUACUGUUGCACCUGCUAA